AUUGAACGCUGGCGGCAUGCCUUACACAUGCAAGUCGAACGGCAGCACGGGUGUUUGCACCUGGUGGCGAGUGGCGGACGGGUGAGUAAAGCAUCGGAACAUGCCCACUUGUGGGGGAUAACGCACCGAAAGGUGUGCUAAUACCGCAUAGCCCUGAGGGGGAAAGCAGGGGAUCUUCGGACCUUGCGCAGGUGGAGUGGCCGAUGUCGGAUUAGCUAGUUGGUGAGGUAACGGCUCACCAAGGCGACGAUCCGUAGCUGGUCUGAGAGGAUGAUCAGCCACACUGGAACUGAGAACGGUCCAGACUCCUACGGGAGGCAGCAGUGGGGAAUUUUGGACAAUGGGGGCAACCCUGAUCCAGCCAUGCCGCGUGAGUGAAGAAGGCCUUCGGGUUGUAAAGCUCUUUCGGCCGGGAAGAAAUCGUGCUGGCUAAUACCCUGUAUGGAUGACGGUACCGGAAAAGAAGCACCGGCUAACUACGUGCCAGCCGCCGCCGUAA
rnacentral:rRNA from 1 species